rnacentral:rRNA from 1 species
AUUGAACGCUGGCGCCAGGCCUAACCCAUGCAAGUCGAACGCGUGGCGGACGGGUGAGUAAUGCCUGGGAAACUGCCUGAUGGAGGGGGAUACCUACUGGAAACGGUAGCUAAUACCGCAUACCAUCAGAUGUGCCCAGAUGGGUUUAGCUAGUAGGUGGGGUAACGGCUCACCUAGGCGACGCUCCCUCGCUGGUCUGAGAGGAUGACCAGCAACACUGGAACUGAGACACGGUCCAGACUCCUACGGGAGGCAGCAGUGGGGAAUAUUGCACAAGGGGCGCAAGCCUGAUGCAGCCAUGCCGCGUGUAUGAAGAAGGCCUUCGGGUUGUAAAGUACUUUCAGCGGGGAGGCGUUACCCGCAGAAGAAGCACCGGCUAACUCCGUGCCAGCAGCCGCGGUAAUAC